ACGCCGCGUGAGCGAUGAAGGCCCUUCAGGUCGUAAAGUUCUGUCCUCAAGGAAGAUAAAUGACGGUACUUGAGGAGGAAGCCCCAGGCUAAGUACGUGCCAGCAGCCGCGGUAAAUACGUAGGGGGCUAGCGUUAUCCGGAAUUACUGGGCGUAAAGGGUGCGUAGGUGGUUUUUUAAGUCAGAAGUGANAAGGCUACGGCUCAACCGUAGUAAGCUUUUGAAACUAGAGAACUUGAGUGCAGGAGAGGAGAGUAGAAUUCCUAGUGUAGCGGUGAAAUGCGUAGAUAUUAGGAGGAAUACCAGUAGCGAAGGCGGCUCUCUUNACUGUAACUGACACUGAGGCACGAAAGCGUGGGGAGCAAACAGGAUUA
rnacentral:rRNA from 1 species